AAAGGUAGAUAAAAGAAGAGUUUGUGACAUUUGACUAUUUAAGGGUCUGCGUCCAUGACAAAGGCUGCUCCAUCAUCAUCUCCAUUUCAAAAGGGUGCAACUGCAACUCUUAUACAGAUUCAGUCUCUCAACUGUGAGAGUGUGGUUUUGUGUGUGUGGGUGGGGGGUGGGAUCUGCUAUGUGUCAUUCCUACGUUUUGCAUGAGUAAGCCCUUUCAAAGUGUUAUGCUUGUGGGCUUCAUCUUGCAUCUUUGCUUCCUUCUCAUUUCAUCUCACCUUUAUUAACAAUUAUUUUAAAACUAUAUAUCUUAAAAGAAUUAACAGAUUUUUUUUACUAUAUAGUCUGUGUUGAUAACAUACUUUAUUUUGCCUUUUAAUUACAAAAUUGAUACGUUAUAAGAUGUUUUUUUUUUUUCUUUUGAGAUGGACCAAACCCUAAUAAAUUUUUCUAGUAAUAAAUUAAAUUUGAUGAAGAAUAAGAUGGUGGGUGGAUCACAGUGUACAGUCGUUGGUUUUCCUUUAAAGGUUAUCUCUCUAUUCUUCCAGAUCUGAAUUUUUUUCCCCUUUUGAAUUUUGAAAAGAGCUUUUGUUUUUCUGAAGCUUUCCAAAUUUGGGGAGGUAUUAGUAUUUACUAUUUAGUGAUGGAGUUGGUUUUUAUUUCUUGGGACAUAGAAAUUGACAGAAGAGAGUGAGCACACAGAGGCACUUGGUAUAGUUAUAUACUGUUGCUUUUGCGUGCUCACUUCUCUUUCUGUCAACUUCCAGUGCUGGAAAUUACUUUCAAUCUGGCUCUGCUUUGUUCCAUUCCCAAAUAAAACCCCAAACCACCCUCCCACUCUCCACACUCUCAUCAAGAUGAACAACAUAGAUGGCUACUGCGACAGGUUUAUUAUAUCAAACAGUGAAAAGCAGUGUUGCUUUCUUUCUUUUCCCUAUUUUUUUAUUUUUAUUUUUAUGAGUUUGAUGAUCUAUUAUCUGAUUGAUUGAUUGAUUUUAUUUAUAUUAUUAUUAUAAUAUAGUCGUUAAUAAUGAUUCAAUUUAAUAUUAAUCUGUGAUUAAACAUAAAGCGGUGACUUUGGAUAGCGUGGCCAAACGAACCCCCUCAUUAAUUAGUGGCAAUUUUUUUUAUUAUAUGCACACUACUAUAGCAUAGCAUGGGACCAUUCACGUCAUAUAGUAUGGUCCUCACAUUUUUUGUUUUUAUUUUUUCUCAAAGUUCUUGCUCUCUCUGUCUAACAUUAUCUUCCUGAUUUCAUGUUCUUCCCCUUGUAUAUUUUAUAAUUCUUGCACAUGCGAACGAGGUUUGUUUACUUGGUCAGAGGUAAUUGUUCUUGUUGACUAGUGUUUGUGCCUACCUAAGGUUAAGCUAGAUUCUGGUUUCUUGGACAUUUGGAUGGGUGUUUUAACCGGUUUUUGUUGGUUUAUGAGAUAAACCCUAUCAACUUAACUGUAGUGUUGUACGUUGUUUUGAUGUGUUUACUACAAAGUAGUUUUGAGAGCUUCAGAAUGUGAGCAUCAUUUUGCUAAUAUUUUGAUUCUCCUAGCUAUAUAUAUAUAAGAAUCUUCAUUGUUUUGGUGGUUUUCCUGUUAAAUUCUUUUUUUCCUUUGGAUUUUGUAGUGUGUUUUUUAAUAUUGAAAUGAAGAUUCUGGAUGUGAUAAUUAAUUCUUGAUAUAUAUAUAUUCUGCACAAGCUGCAGACAGAUUUUUCUGAGUUUGAUGCAGAUAUAAAGUUAGCAUUUCUUAUACUUCAUUGUGGAUAAUUAGCUUUCCUAACAACCACCAUUGUGUUGUUACUGUUUCAACUUUUUUUUGUUUUUGUUAUGGUGAAUGCUCCCUCCCCUUUCUAUUAAUUAUUACAAAUAGCUUGUUCUAGCUGCUAGUGUUGUGAUAUCAUAUAUUGAGUGGGGACAAACAUGCUUUAUAUUGUGAAUAAUGUAGGCAGCAUCAAUUUGAUAUUGAAGAGGUUAAUUACCAAUCAAACAUAGUAUAUAUUAAUUUUUGCCUAUGUUUAUCUGGUAAACACAGGCCUUGCCACUUAUAUUUUAAAAUAAAUCAACACUUCAAUGAAAAUUCACCUCUCAUACUCCUGUUACUGCAUCAAAUCAUAUUAACUGCUAAUAGCAUAGCAACCAACUACCACCUCUACAGUGGCUUUCUUCUGGCAAUGGUCCUUCUGCAGUGGUGAAGGUUACAUAUUAAUUCAACUAUUAGCCUUUUCCGAUUGAGUUUUAUUGGUCAGUGGAGAUCACUGAAUCCAUUUAUUUUCUCGAUUUUUGUUGUAAAAGGGUUUCUGAAUCAAAAAUUUAAUGCUGUCUUAAAAAUAAUAUUUUUUGCUCUAUAUUUAUAUUGGUUUUAUUCACUUUUGUAUUGUUAUUAAUUAUUAUUAAGUUAGAAGUCAUCAUUUUUUAUGCAACAAGGGUUUUGGGGAGUUUUUAAAUUUAAAUAGGAAUUUCAAGUUUCUAUAUAUUUGUUUAAUAGCUUUAUACUUUAUUUUUCUGAGUUUUAUCUUUAAAAAAUGUACCAGCAAUCCUUUUCAAAUUUGUUUUGGUUUUCCUUUGAUGGAGACAAUAUAUACUCUCCCAUUGGCGAAAAAACAACAUGAAAGACGGUGGAUGCAUUAGAAUGAGUACGUGGCGGAUGUGCUUGCAAUUUUAUUUUAUCUUUUAUAGGAGUUUCUUUAGCUUCAAUAGUAUUUAUAUUCCAUGAUUUGAAGAAUAUGCUCCCUAAAUUUCUAUACAUGACUAGAUUUAUCACGAAUAUACUUUAUAGCUUUAUACUUUAUAUAUAAAGAAUAUGCAAUUUUAAUGUAACCUUUAAACUUCUGCGUUCGUCAGAAUUUGUGGCUACAAUUUAAGCCCACAUGAACCAUCAACCAUUAGAUGUAGUUUUCUUCUUUUUUGAGUGUGAUUAGCUGAUAUGGUUUUCACAUAUAUAAGUUAUGAAUAAGAUUCUCGUUUCCGUUAUAUUAAUAAUUUGUCAAUAAUAUGAUUUUUCGUAGUCAAAUUGAAUCAGGAUAUUCGUAUGGGUCCGAGCUUCAAGACACAAUUUCUUCAUAAUAUUGCAAGUCCCAUAUCCAUUGUACUUGUUUAUAAAUGCGUGGUCAAUUGAUUUCUUUUGUACUUAUUUUUUGGCUUUCAAUUUGGUUUGCUAUUCAGAAAAAGAAAAAGAAGAAAAAAAAAGUAAAGCCUUUGUGGAAAAUAAUAUAAUGAAUAUAUGGUGAUGAUUAUUGUAAGCAUUUGCUCUUAUACAACAAUCAGAACCAUAAUCAGAUGCUAUAUGGAUUAUUAAUUACAAUCUUUCCUCUUCCAUCAUUGAUUCAUUGAAAAAAUAUUGCAUUGACAUGUAGAAGAUUCUAUUGUUUUUGUAGGUUACAGGUUGCUACUCAGCAUCUAAUGAUUUUUGUCCUGGCAUUACAGUCCACACUGUAACAGUUCCCCACCUAGGUCAGAUAACCAAAGUUUUGCUGUGACCCUAGCAGACUCAUUGCAACCUUUUAGAUUCUAUGACUUCUGUCCCUAGCGAAAAUUGAUUCAAAUGUUUUAUUCCAUGCCUUGUAUUUUGUAUAAAUUACAGAAAUUUUAUACUCGAGAACUUAAGAUUGCACGUAUGAGUGCAUUCAUUCUUACUAGCUAGUAUAUAUUUGACAUUCUAUGUUGAAGUGAGUAAAUUCAACAAAGAAGUCAAUUAAUUUGAUUUGAGAAAACGUUUUUUGUUUUCACUUUUAAAUAAAAAAAAUGUAACUUAUUAUCACUUUAUUUUUCUAUAUAAACUUUUGAAAAUAGAAAAAUUAAGUGACGUUUUUAUAAUUAAAAAUAAAUUAUACGAGGUGUUUUCAAACUAAACUGCACCUAACAUUUUAGUUCAUUGGUGUUGAUUUUCCAAUGAGUUUCAAUUGAAACUGUUAUUUUUUCUUUUCCAUACCUAUCAUGGCUCCAUGUGAGUGUUUUAAUUAUGUGCUCACUUAUUUAUGUUUUCUUUUAUACUUAAUUGGAGAUUAUGUACCUGUUAUUUGUAUUUAAUGCUAAAUUUUAUCUAAUCUUGGCAUAAGGUCAUAUUGUUACAUUGUUGUGCACCACUCAUUUUGAUGACAAUUCAAAUAGUGAUUGCUAAGGUUUUAAAUUUGACUGCAAAUGAUCUUUCUACAAAUGUUUAGGCUAAUGAUUUAGCCUAUAUCAUUUUUGUCUACUAAAGAAUUUUCUAGUGCACAUAAAGUUACUUAGUGAGCCUUAAUUUUUAUCGCAACUAUUAGGAUAUUAGAAUAGGAUGGAACCUUAGCUUUGGAGGCAAAUGGUUAUAUUUUACGAAAAGCUAGCAUCUUCAUUUAACACCAUAUCCCAGUGCAUAAAUGUUCCUCAGUGAAACUUUUCCAACAACAUAUAAGGCACUUUUAAUUAAUUUAGAAGAAUAACAAACUUUAUCCGAGUUUAUGACAUUUUUUUAGCUUAUUUUAAUAAACUUCAAUUACAAUGAAACUUAUCGAAGUAAUUAAGUGUUGUUUAGGAAGUUUAAUAAUUACCUUACUAGCUCUUAUGUUAUAAGUUUUUGAAUAAACACUUAAUCAAGUCACUCACCUAAACACACCCUAGCAUGGUAUUAGGAUUUUUGUAUUUGUCAAAUGUUUUGUAAUCAACCAUUAUCUAGUGACCUUUUGGAGCUCAGUAAUUAAUCAUCGAAUGGAAGCUGGUUUUGAGACAAUAGCUAAAUUCAUGGUGACAUAGCAAAAUCUAAGUGGUAGUCAAUUUUUCACCAAAACCACUAAUUAUGAAAAAUAUUGUCAAGAUCCUCUCUGGCUAAUAUUGAUACUUUUAACUCACAAGUCAACUGAUAUCACUUUAGAAUUGAUAAUCACUUCCAUCAACACUUGCACAAUUUUUAAUCUUGCUUGUCUGCUCUCAUUGCCUCCAUUGUUUUCCUCAGUAGGUAUUUUCAUUGAACUUUACCUAUUUUUAUUAAUAUUGAUUCAUUUUAUUAUUAGGAGUUAAUUAGAGCCUGAGUUGUAAAGAUAAAUAGGAUCAAAUCAAGUAAAUUGUAGCACAAAAUGCAGAAGAUGUGCCGGAGCAGUUGAUUUUGAAAUAAUAAGCUUAAUGCAUUUGGGUGCUUUGUAGUAUAUUAUUUUUUUCUGUCCAAAUCAUUAACUACGGAUUUUCUGUAACUUGAACAAUUAUUUUGUUUUGGACUUGUAUUGACUUCUUGUUACUUUGGACUGACAUUUGAUUUUGGGUCUCCUAGUAAUUUUCUAUUUACUACAUGCAGAUUUAGGAUGAAAAAGUGGAUUAACCCUAAUUAAUACGUGUAUACAUGUAUACAUAAGGAUUGAGAAGAUUAUGCAUUUUAUGUAUUGAAUUAUACUGUGUUUAUUCCUAGUUCAGUUAGUGUAUGAAGAGAAAGAGAAGACUACCAGGCAUUGGAUUGCAGUAGUAGCUGACAGAAGUCGUUGUGCUGACCAUACUUUAGUAUUUCAGUCUUGUGUAUUCGGCCACUAGAAUGAAGUACACAAAUUGUGAGAAUGAUUUAGCGGUGCUGUGCCUCAAGCCUCUCAAUAUGUCUAAUUAUGAGGAUUGUGUGAACAUGUGGCAGUAACUUCAGAUGUCAUGAGUCGUUGCAAGUUGAGGAGAUAUGGUAUCCAAAUUGUGAAGAGGUGGCUAUUUUGAAUUUUGCGGAACAACUGCUUUGAAUUUAUGAUAAAGUUUAAACUGUCUCUGAACUAGUUUGUAAUAUUCGAUGCCUGUACAGAGUCAUGUUACUCGACACUGAAACGAAGAAAUGUUAAUAAUGCAUGUACAGAGUCAUGUUACUUGAAACUGAAACGAAAUGUUGCUUUUUUAGGAA